CUGAAUACUAAUGUGAUUAUUUUAUUUAUUUUUUAUACAUUUUUUUUGCAUUGUCUUUAUGGGGCAUUUGUGUGUAGAUUGACGAGGGGAAAAAAACAUUAAACCCAUUUUAGAAUAAGGCUGUAAUGUAACAAAAUGUGGUCUUAAUACUUUCUGAAUGCACUGUAGAUCUAAAAGAUCAUUGGAAUGUAGACAGAAGACUGUAACGACUACUUUCACAGUGCUGGAAAAUGUAGACUUCCUUCUCAUAAUCUAAAACUGAAAUUCUUCAACUAUCACUGUGUUUUUGACAACCCUAAUUGUUGUGAUGAAAAAUACAAGUGAUCAUAAACGAGGCAAUGGCAUCAGUCCAACCACAGUGGCUCAGAGCAUGACAUUGGGUCCGACACUUCAGUUAGCAUCUACCCAGUAGAAAACAGAAGGUCUCCAUAAACCACUGUCUAAACUAACCACAUGCUUACUCUGACUUUAAGAGCAAGGAUGACCAUAGAAAAAGCGCAAACCUCAGACGAGGAUGACAUUUCACCAACCUUCUUGGGGACAAUUGGCUGAAACAGACUCAUAUUGUUUUCAAAUUAUAUUUCAGGCUUGAAAAGUAGCAAAAGCUGUAAUUAUUCAAACAUAUUCAAAACCACAACAACUAAACCAUAGUGGUACUCUGCAAUUAAACCAGUCAUUCGGAAUAUUGUCAUAAUGUAAUAUCUAACUUCUAAUGGGGAAAGGCUGGUGAAAGCUCUUUCAGGGUAACAAAGUGAAAACAACUCAUGUACAUGAUGUUUUAAGUGUCUAUCCUGGAGUAAUAAUACUGUAGUAAAUGUUCCAUGACUUUUUGAAUUCUAGCUUCAGCAGGUCUGAUCUGGACUUCUGCUGGCUGAGUUGGCAUCAGAACUCGUGCACAUUCUUUGGCCAUCCACAAUGAAUCAUGACCUAUCCUUACUCUGACAAUAAUGACAUGCUCUGCAACAGUAACCUUUUCCCUCCUCUAAUUCUCUCUUUUCUCCCAACUUCUCAGAGUUUCAUCAGGACCGUGUGGUGAUAUUGUGGCAACCCUCUCCCCAUACCAUGAAGAGAUUUUUCCCCAACCAGAAAAACAUUAAUAGUUUUAAAGGGAGGUGGUUUAUUUUCCAAGAAACAACUGAAAAAAACACUAACUGAGGAAGCAACUGGUGGUGUAGAAUGAUUGGAAUGACCACAGUGCAACGUGUUCUACAUUGGACAGACAAAGAGACGCCUUCAAGACCACUUAGCGGAACACAAGUACGCCAGUACGUAGGCAAUGAAGACUACCCCAUGGCAAGGCACUACAAGUCCCUACACCAUGGCAAGACACUACAAGUCCCUACACCAUGGCAACCCUGCCUCCCUACAAGCUAUGGGUAUUGAUCAUGUUCUGGCCUCAAUUAGAAAAGGGGACCGUCUUUAACAGCUGAACCAAAGGGAACGUUUUUGGAUUUACAAACUACAGGCCACUAAGUACCCUGGUUUAAAUGAAGAUAUGAAUUUCUCAUCUUUCCUGUAGGGUCGUGAUAGGUCCAUUUACUGUCAUCUAGUGGACAUUUUGCUCUAUUGCCCUCAGCUAUGUUUAAACUGUUAUUGUCCAUGUUCGCUGUGUUCUAGUGUACUAUGAAAUAGAUUGCUUUCCUAUUCUUGGCACUUUGCCCAGUCAUAUUUAAGGUUAGAACUACCUUUCUAGGCAUUCUGAUGCUUCUAGCUUGGAGUUGAAUCUACAGUAUUUCACUUUUUAAUGUGUAUAGUAUUGCUUACUAGGUGUGUCCAAUCCUUUUUGUAACCACUCCCUCUUCAAUUAGUGCUGAUUGGAAAAAGUUGUUCAAAAGAGGAGAGGAGUACAAAGAAAUUAUAAUACAAAGGCCAUGCAGCCGAAACUCAACAGAUUUUUAAAAAACUUUGUUUCCACUGAACAUGCUAUACAA